UGUGAAUGCUGGAGUCGCAAAGGUGUUCUUUGGAACGGGCACAAAACUGAUGAUCCAAAGCAAAAAAGAAGAACCGCCUGCCUAUUACAAAUUUAAUGAGUCAUGUUUGGCAACCGACUUCACAAAAUAUGAUGAUGUAAAAUUCCAAGACGUUACACCCGUGCGAUAUGCAGAACGAAGUUACUACAGCAGCUUCACCUUUAAUGCUUCAGAAAACUGCCCGCAGAAAGACUGCAAUCAAGGAUCAUCCAGUCAAAAUGCUGAUUUUGAAACGGGUAAGUGUGCUUUUAUUUGCACAUUAAUAGUCUGCUGUGCAUUUCAUUUAAUUUGCGGUCCAUUACUACUAGUCUGUUACUGCCUGUUGUUUGAACCGAAACAUCCAGCACUGUCAAACAUUAACUGCACUCGCAUAGAUUUCAAAUUGUGAAACUACUAGCUUCGGGAAAAAAAAAAAAAAAACAUUAAACACAUUUAAAAAAAAUACUUGAAAGUGCUGGAUUAUACCACAAAAUCCAUGGUAAAACCAAUAGACAUACUAAUUGCAUUUUUAUUCUGCAGAUGAAAAAACCAACUACAUGUCAAUGGGCCUCUAUUGGCUGAGAAUUCUCUUUCUGAAGACUGUUGUGUUCAAUGUCCUGAUGACUUUCAAAGCAUGGAUGAGCUAACGUGAGUGAAAUGUUAUAUCUUGUGACAGUGGGUCUCAUUCACUAACUGCGUGUUAACACAUUUGUGUGUAAAAACUUUUUCAUACAGAAAUCAAGGUUUAUUAAUAAGUUGCAGGAUAACAUUUAGAACCAACUGAAACCACACAUACAAAAAAAAAACGAUUCCUAGCAGACUGUUUUACAGUCAUUUAACAAAAAUGGUUUGCAAAGUUGCAUAGUUUCUAAAAAUGGUCAAUCACGUGUAGUCUAGG
ensembl:lncRNA